UGAUUAGGCUACUAUUUCUUUGUGGGAAAU
rnacentral:piRNA from 1 species